CUAACACAAAAAAUAUGUCUGAUUUACUAUACAGGUAUAUAACUUUACAAAUUAAAGUGUACAUAUGGUCAGUUUUAGUUGAUGCGGUCAAAUAAUUUUGUUGUACAAGUCAGCAUGGUCAGCAUGAGGUAUCAAAACUACUGAAAUUUUGUUACGUAUCAAUAUUUUGAAUUAAAGGAGGACAUGCUGGCACCCUAAAUUUAUGCGAACACAAAUUUGUUGUUAUUGUAUUGCAAUAUUGCUGUCCAUUGUAUUAUACAUUGAAUCCUGACAUAAAAAAAUAUGGCUGAUUUACUAUGCGGGUAUAUAGAUUUACAAAUUAAAGUGCACAUAUGGUCAGUU
rnacentral:lncRNA from 1 species